AGCGUGCGCAGGCGGUUAUGUAAGACAGAUGUGGAAAUCCCCGGGCUCAACCUGGGAACUGCAUUUGUGACUGCAUGGCUAGAGUACGGUAGAGGGGGAUGGAAUUCCGCGUGUAGCAGUGAAAUGCGUAGAUAUGCGGAGGAACACCGAUGGCGAAGGCAACUCCCCUGGACCUGUACUGACGCUCAUGCACGAAAGCGUGGGGAGCAAACAGGAUUAGAUACCCUAGU
rnacentral:rRNA from 1 species